CCGGCGCGGAUCGGCCCGGCGCGGAUCGGCUCGGCACGGAUCGGCCCGGUGCGGAUCGGCCCGGCGCGGAUCCGCUCGGCACGGAUCGGCCCGGCGCGGAUCGGCCCGGCGCGGAUCGGCUCGGCGCGGAUCGGCGCGGCUCCAUCCCGGCUCCGCUAUGGAGGCGCUGCGUGCGGCGGGGCGCGCCGUGCUGCGGAGCCCGCGCCUCGCCCGGCACGGCCUGGGGCUCCGCCGGCGGCGCAAGCUUCCUGAGAGCUGGGCCGAUAUGCAGGAGCCACUGCUUGAGGGGAUGUGCUUCACCCUCAAGUAUCUGGGCAUGACGCUGGUAGAAAAGCCUAAAGGAGAAGACAUGGCUGCUGCUGCCAUCCGCAGGAUCGUGGCCACGGCACGGGUCGGAGCUCGCAAGUUUCAGAAGGUGAUUCUGACAGUGUCUCCAAGGGGCAUCUCACUGCAGGAUGCAGACACCAAGGAGAUGGUGGAGAACAUCUCCAUCUACAGGAUCUCCUACUGCACUACAGACAAGCUGCAGAACAAAGUCUUUGCUUAUGUUGCCCAGAGCCAGGAGAGCGGGGCACUGGAGUGCCAUGCCUUCCUCUCACCCAAGAAGAAGAUUGCCCAGGCUGUGACUCUGACUGUCGCCCAGGCCUUUCAGAUGGCACUGGAUCUCUGGGAAGCAACACAUGCAGGCUCUAGGCAGGAUCAGCCCCUUCACCCUUCAUGUGUCUUGGAGAGCAGUGAGCCCAGCAGAGCCCGUGAGCCAGCCCCCCCAGGGAGUGCUCCCUUCAGACACCACUUUGGGGAGGAGGAGGAGGAGGAGGAGGAAGAUGAUAAUGUCAGUGAAACCUUAUCUGGUCUUUGCCGAGGCCAGCCUGUCCAGACAUGCCUCUCGUGUGGGACUCGGUUGCCCCUCUACUCCCACUGAUUUCCCUGGGGUUUGGAGCAGGAUGGAGGCCUGGUCAUGCUGACUUCUGCCUGGACUGGGGCUGUGUCCUGUGCUGAGGGGGAGCUGAUGGAACAGUCCAGCAGCAGAGGAUUAACCUGCAGGUCUGCAGCAGAGCGGGUGGUGGGCCUGUGAGGCCCCUUACAUCAUGGCUGUUCUCCAUGUACAGCAGCAGGCACCCAGCCAGGGUCUGGCAGGGCUGAGCUUGGGUUGAGCCAGUGUAACCUGGGAACCAGGUGUGCACAGACCAGAGCUGUACUGUAGCCCAAUGAGGCACCACCCCUUUGGGCAUGGGGCUCCUGAUGGGAAGGAGAUGGGGCUUUGCAAAGAGGGGCUGGUAACAAGGGGGCUUAGGGCCUUGUGCACUCCCAGUGCCUGCUGCUGCUGUGCCAUUCCUGCCGUGUCGGGGUCAUGAGCAUGCCAUGCCUCUCAGGAGGUCGUGCUUGGGGUAUGAUGGGUGCUGUGUUCUCUUCCAAAGCAGCAUGGAGCAGCUGGGGAGGGGAGCCCACAGCCCAGCAGAAUUAAUACCUCUUGUGCCCCCAUCGAGCUCUCCUACAGCACAGCUACUGUGCCACCGCCUGGGGCCGCCCCCGGACAGCUGGACGGUGCUGGGAGGGGUUGGAGACU